UGGGGAAUUUUCCGCAAUGGGCGAAAGCCUGACGGGGCAAUACCGCGUGAGGGAGGAAGGCUUUUGGGUUGUAAACCUCUUUUCUCAAGGAAGAAGAUCUGACGGUACUUGAGGAAUCAGCAUCGGCUAACUCCGUGCCAGCAGCCGCGGUAAUACGGAGGAUGCAAGCGUUAUCCGGAAUGAUUGGGCGUAAAGCGUCUGCAGGAGGCUAUGCAAGACAGCUGAUAAAGAGUGGAGCUCAACUCCAUAAGGGCAGUGGAAACUGCGUAACUAGAGUACGUUCGGGGUAGGGGGAAUUCCUGGUGUAGCGGUGAAAUGCGUAGAUAUCAGGAAGAACACCGGUGGCGAAAGCGCUCUACUAGGCCGUAACUGACACUGAGAGACGAAAGCUAAGGGAGCGAAUGGGAUUAGAUACCCGGGUAGUCC
rnacentral:rRNA from 1 species